UACAGAGGUCUCAAGCGUUUGUUCGGAUUCAUUGGGCGUAAAGGGCGCGUAGGCGGCGCAACAAGUCACUUGUGAAAUCUCCGGGCUUAACUCGGAACGGUCAAGUGAUACUGUUGUGCUAGAGUGCGGAAGGGGCAACUGGAAUUCUCGGUGUAGCGGUGAAAUGCGUAGAUAUCGAGAGGAACACCUGCGGCGAAGGCGGGUUGCUGGGCCGACACUGACGCUGAUGCGCGAAAGCCAGGGGAGCGAACGGG
rnacentral:rRNA from 1 species